UUUUGUGGGAGCGAGCCUGCUCGCGAUUGGAAUCGCCUCGGUCCGCCAGGCAGACCGAGUCGUUCGCAUCGCGAGCAGGCUCGCUCCCACAGGA
rnacentral:misc_RNA from 1 species